rnacentral:rRNA from 1 species
GAUGAACGCUAGCUACAGGCUUAACACAUGCAAGUCGAGGGGAAACGAUAUUGGAAGCUUGCUUCCGAUAGGCGUCGACCGGCGCACGGGUGAGUAACGCGUAUCCAACCUGCCCAUCACUUGGGGAUAACCUUGCGAAAGUAAGACUAAUACCCAAUGACGUCUCUAGAAGACAUCUGAAAGAGAUUAAAGAUUUAUCGGUGAUGGAUGGGGAUGCGUCUGAUUAGCUUGUUGGCGGGGUAACGGCCCACCAAGGCGACGAUCAGUAGGGGUUCUGAGAGGAAGGUCCCCCACAUUGGAACUGAGACACGGUCCAAACUCCUACGGGAGGCAGCAGUGAGGAAUAUUGGUCAAUGGGCGAGAGCCUGAACCAGCCAAGUAGCGUGCAGGAUGACGGCCCUAUGGGUUGUAAACUGCUUUUAUAAGGGAAUAAAGUGGGAGUCGUGACUCCUUUUGCAUGUACCUUAUGAAUAAGGACCGGCUAAUUCCGUGCCAGCCGCCGCCGUAA